UGUUAUGCAGAAUGUGAAGUUAGAUGUUCAAUAAAAAGUGCCAAAGAAGUUGUAACUGUAACUGCUCCUCUAUUUUUGAGAACAGAGAGUUGUUAUUUGUCGUUUCGGAGACUUCAUUUUCCGUUAACAAUAGUUAACAAACUUAAUAGCAAGAGCUCUGGUUUGAAAAGUGCUUUCUACCAUUUCAUUUGUUCUUGAUAUAACACUUGAUAUCUAUACUUCCAACUAAUGACAAAAUUUGUCUGAUCAUGUUGCUUGUAAGAAUUUUUUAAACGCUUGACUGAGUCGCGCCAUUUUUCCGUUAGCUGAAUUGAAGCCUCCGAAACAAACUAUUCAGACAGCUUGUACAAAUAUGAAUAUAGGAACUUAUCCAAUCAUUAUAUCAAAAUGUAGCAUUAGGACCCCUAAAUCACUUGUCAAAAAAUAGCUGAGAUAUUCCCCACUGUUAAAGAAUAACAGACAAUACAAACUUUCCGUUAGCACUUGAAGCCUCCGAAACACUUGAAGCCUCCGAAACAGCCAAAAGAUUAUUUUUCAUUUUUUAAAUACCUAGACCGAUGUGUUUCAUGUUAAAUCUGCAUGGCAAUCAUAGGUUAGGAUGUGCAGGCUCCCUUGAAGUUGAAAGUAAAUAGAUAUCCAGUUAAUUUUUUUCAAGACUUACUAAUAACCAAAAAAACUUGUUUCGGAGGCUUCGAACUGUAGUUAACACCAUAUUUUUGGCUAUUGUGGUUUUAUAGAUAGGGGAUUGUUUACAGUUUUCCUAUUGAAUGUUUGGUUUUGGUCUAUUAAAGGACAGGAAUGUGUUAGAUGUUAUUGGCUCUUUAUUUUUUUAAUGAUUUACAAAUAGUCAGUAUUUCAGAAAGAAAUUUUACACCAGUACUAGGAGUAUUCACCUGUUUCAAACCUUGAUAAUGUAAGAAUCAUUCACCAAAUAAUAAAAAAAGUUUAUACAUAUAAAUCUUCCAAGCUUUAUGAAUAUUUUAAUAUAUAAAGUAUUAAAAUGAAUCACUGUAUUUUCCCAAAUUAUAAGACAUCCAUAAUAUUUAUCCAAUUUGUUUCGGAGGCUUCAUUUAGUGUUAACAACAUGUAUCAUGGUCUUUGCCAACCCCUUAUGAUCAAAUGGCAUAGGCCAUGCCAUCCAAAGACCAUUUGUAACAGUAGGAGAGAAAUUUGGUGGGCAAAGAACCCUCUAGAAAUGUUUGGGUAGCAGUGUGUACAACCCCUUUUAAGACAAUGGAAUAAUAAUAAUAAUAUUUAGUUCUUGUGUAGCACAUAUUGAACGUCUCUAUGCGCUUCCAAAUUUGGAAAUUAUUACCCCGGCUUUAGCAUGGCUUCCAUUACGGCGCUUAAGCAUUUCAAGGAAUUAAUUCCUGCCAGGUACCCAAUUUACCUCACCUGGGUCGAGUGUGGCAAAUGUAGAUUAGUGUCUUGCCAAAGGACAUUAGUGCCGCGGCAGGACUCGAUCUGCGGACCUUGUCCACAACAAUAGACCAUGAAGAUCAUGAAGAUAUUGACAAGGUUACAGCAACAUGUGCUAGCAACAUCUGAUACUAGAUAGCAUCUCUUCCAGACAGGCAUGAACACUACAGGCAGUUCUCUCAUUUCCUUACUGUUAUCCACAGGAAUAUAGAGGAUCAAUGUGAGCGAUUAUGUGGCCAUAUAUUUUGAUGCACCUUCAUCUACAUGUAGCAGCAGGACUACAAAUGGGGUGGUUUUCAUGGCUCUCGUAAAAGCUGUGAUUGAUGACAAUGUCAAAGUCAAAUUCAUGCGCCGGAACAGCAAUGGUCUGUAUUAAUUUACAGAGGACUGUGAAGCCCAUCAGCCUAAAAAAAGAUGUAAUACAGAAGCUGACUCUACCAACCAGGACCCCUACCCCAGCCGGCAGAGCUUACCUUUAUAAUUUUUAAGAAGGAGAACUGGACAUGUUGGCAGAUAAAUUUCUUUGAAAUAAGAAGUAGAACACAAUUGUGUUCCAGGACAAAAACCUGUAAAUACUUACUAUGCUAUUGGUUUCACAAAUAUGAAUGUCAGUGUAAAUGUUAUAACACAUAACAAACAAGUUUGUGGAAGCCACUGUGCGGAAAUUUAAUUCUUUGCACUAAGAAUAAAUGAUGACAAAGACGCAAGUGAAGGGUAAUGAUACAUUGCUAUGAAUUAACAUAAAUGGUUUCUAUGUGAACAAUUAUUUUAAGUACUUUACUUUCAGUUCAACAUUUUAUCGAAUCUUCAAAAGGAAGGUUAAAUUUCGCUUUGUAUAUUGCCUUUGUAGUUGACAAUAUAGUGUGUUAACAUGUUUGAAGCCUCCGAAACACUACUUUGAACUGAUCCUAUACAUGUAUAUGUUUCCUGAAUGUUUCAACUUUGAUAUGAGAAAAGUGAUUUCCUUGGAAAUUACAUACUUGACAAUAUAUUUCCCUGAGUAUCAGCACAGAUUUGAAAUCCUCAUGGAUGCUAUUAAGUGACUUUGCAAUGUUUGCGUACUGAACAAAAAACUCAUUGUAUUAAGUAAAGAUAAUUUGUAACAUACAUGUACCGUACUUUAUAUUAACAAGUAUUUUUACACUGUAAACAAAUGUUUUACGUGUUAUAUUAGUAAUUUAACAUAUCAUUAACAGUUUAAGUUGAAUUUUUCUUAAUAUGUUACCUAAGUAAUGGACAACAUUUUAUGUUAACAUGAUUGAAGCCUCCGAAACAGGCAUUUUGUUAACCUGAAGCCUCCGAAACACACACAUGAGAAAUUUUUAACUUCCUCAUUUGAAAUGCGAUUUCUUUGGAAUUUGCAUGGUAAUUAGCCUUCACUGAAUGGUAUUUGUAUAAUAAUUUGUAUUUUGCUCCCCCUCUUGGAAGAUAGGUAAAUUUGAAAAAUUAAAUGUCAAAGUCAUAUUUUAUCUUGAAUUUGACAAACGCAUUGAAUUUUUUUAAAGACCAAAUAAGUUUGACCAAAAAAGCUUUAUAAGCCUUUAAGUACAUUAGAAUAGCAAAUGAAAAAUAGCAAUUGAAUUAUGUUUGGAGAACAAAUGUUGUCAUUUAAGUUGAUAGAAUUAAAAUGUUGUUUUUGUUCAAAUUUA